rnacentral:rRNA from 1 species
AGAGUUUGAUCCUGGCUCAGGACGAACGCUGGCGGCGUGCUUAACACAUGCAAGUCGAACGAGAAUCUGUGGAAAGAGGAUUCGUCCAAUUGAAGCAGAGGACAGUGGCGGACGGGUGAGUAACGCGUGAGGAACCUGCCUUUCAGAGGGGGACAACAGUUGGAAACGACUGCUAAUACCGCAUAACACAUAGGUGUCGCAUGGCACUUAUGUCAAAGAUUUAUCGCUGAAAGAUGGCCUCGCGUCUGAUUAGCUAGUUGGUGAGGUAACGGCCCACCAAGGCGACGAUCAGUAGCCGGACUGAGAGGUUGAACGGCCACAUUGGGACUGAGAUACGGCCCAGACUCCUACGGGAGGCAGCAGUGGGGAAUAUUGGGCAAUGGGCGCAAGCCUGACCCAGCAACGCCGCGUGAAGGAAGAAGGCUUUCGGGUUGUAAACUUCUUUUGUCAGGGACGAGUAGAAGACGGUACCUGACGAAUAAGCCACGGCUAACUACGUGCCAGCAGCCGCGGUAAUACGUAGGUGGCAAGCGUUGUCCGGAUUUACUGGGUGUAAAGGGCGUGUAGCCGGGAGGGCAAGUCAGAUGUGAAAUCCACGGGCUCAACUCGUGAACUGCAUUUGAAACUACUCUUCUUGAGUAUCGGAGAGGCAAUCGGAAUUCCUAGUGUAGCGGUGAAAUGCGUAGAUAUUAGGAGGAACACCAGUGGCGAAGGCGGAUUGCUGGACGACAACUGACGGUGAGGCGCGAAAGCGUGGGGAGCAAACAGGAUUAGAUACCCUGGUAGUCCACGCUGUAAACGAUGAAUACUAGGUGUGCGGGGACUGACCCCCUGCGUGCCGCAGCUAACGCAAUAAGUAUUCCACCUGGGGAGUACGAUCGCAAGGUUGAAACUCAAAGGAAUUGACGGGGGCCCGCACAAGCGGAGGAACAUGUGGUUUAAUUCGAUGAUACGCGAGGAACCUUACCCGGGCUUGAAUUGCAGAGGAAGGAUUUGGAGACAAUGACGCCCUUCUGGGCCUCUGUGAAGGUGCUGCAUGGUUGUCGUCAGCUCGUGCCGUGAGGUGUCGGCUUAAGUGCCAUAACGAGCGCAACCCCUCUCCUUAGUUGCCAUCAGGUUAAGCUGGGCACUCUGGGGACACUGCCACCGUAAGGUGUGAGGAAGGUGGGGAUGACGUCAAAUCAGCACGGCCCUUACGUCCGGGGCUACACACGUGUUACAAUGGCAGGUACAGAGAGACGGUCCCUUGCAAAACGGAUCAAAUCCUUAAAGCCUGUCUCAGUUCGGACUGGGGUCUGCAACCCGACCCCACGAAGCUGGAUUCGCUAGUAAUCGCGCAUCAGCCAUGGCGCGGUGAAUACGUUCCCGGGCCUUGUACACACCGCCCGUCAAGCCAUGAAAGCCGGGGGCGCCUAAAGUCCGUGACCGUAAGGAGCGGCCUAGGGCGAAACUGGUAAUUGGGGCUAAGUCGUAACAAGGUA